rnacentral:rRNA from 1 species
GAUGAACGCUGGCGGCGUGCCUAAUACAUGCAAGUCGAGCGAACGGACGAGAAGCUUGCUUCUCUGAUGUUAGCGGCGGACGGGUGAGUAACACGUGGAUAACCUACCUAUAAGACUGGGAUAACUUCGGGAAACCGGAGCUAAUACCGGAUAAUAUUUUGAACCGCAUGGUUCAAAAGUGAAAGACGGUCUUGCUGUCACUUAUAGAUGGAUCCGCGCUGCAUUAGCUAGUUGGUAAGGUAACGGCUUACCAAGGCAACGAUGCAUAGCCGACCUGAGAGGGUGAUCGGCCACACUGGAACUGAGACACGGUCCAGACUCCUACGGGAGGCAGCAGUAGGGAAUCUUCCGCAAUGGGCGAAAGCCUGACGGAGCAACGCCGCGUGAGUGAUGAAGGUCUUCGGAUCGUAAAACUCUGUUAUUAGGGAAGAACAUAUGUGUAAGUAACUGUGCACAUCUUGACGGUACCUAAUCAGAAAGCCACGGCUAACUACGUGCCAGCAGCCGCGGUAAUACGUAGGUGGCAAGCGUUAUCCGGAAUUAUUGGGCGUAAAGCGCGCGUAGGCGGUUUUUUAGUCUGAUGUGAAAGCCCACGGCUCAACCGUGGAGGGUCAUUGGAAACUGGAAAACUUGAGUGCAGAAGAGGAAAGUGGAAUUCCAUGUGUAGCGGUGAAAUGCGCAGAGAUAUGGAGGAACACCAGUGGCGAAGGCGACUUUCUGGUCUGUAACUGACGCUGAUGUGCGAAAGCGUGGGGAUCAAACAGGAUUAGAUACCCUGGUAGUCCACGCCGUAAACGAUGAGUGCUAAGUGUUAGGGGGUUUCCGCCCCUUAGUGCUGCAGCUAACGCAUUAAGCACUCCGCCUGGAGAGUACGACCGCAAGGUUGAAACUCAAAGGAAUUGACGGGGACCCGCACAAGCGGUGGAGCAUGUGGUUUAAUUCGAAGCAACGCGAAGAACCUUACCAAAUCUUGACAUCCUUUGACAACUCUAGAGAUAGAGCCUUCCCCUUCGGGGGACAAAGUGACAGGUGGUGCAUGGUUGUCGUCAGCUCGUGUCGUGAGAUGUUGGGUUAAGUCCCGCAACGAGCGCAACCCUUAAGCUUAGUUGCCAUCAUUAAGUUGGGCACUCUAAGUUGACUGCCGGUGACAAACCGGAGGAAGGUGGGGAUGAUGUCAAAUCAUCAUGCCCCUUAUGAUUUGGGCUACACACGUGCUACAAUGGACAAUACAAAGGGCAGCGAAACCGCGAGGUCAAGCAAAUCCCAUAAAGUUGUUCUCAGUUCGGAUUGUAGUCUGCAACUCGACUACAUGAAGCUGGAAUCGCUAGUAAUCGUAGAUCAGCAUGCUACGGUGAAUACGUUCCCGGGUCU